rnacentral:lncRNA from 1 species
UCUAAAAAAUCUUCCCCUUGCUCCUUCUUUCGUUUCUUCCCCUUUCUCCUGUGCCUGCUCUUUCUUGGGCACAGAGGCUUCUUAAUUUUCGCAUAUUUUUACAUACUUAACUACUCUUUGUUUCUUUCUUCAUCUUCUUUUGGCAGAUACCAAAACAAAACAAAAAGAAUGGCAACAAAUAAUUCCACAGUUCACAACAAGAAAACAAGUUUUCCACCAAAAAGGGGCCAAAUUAAAGCUCAGAUAUUUAGCAACUUGGUCAAAAUUGUUGCCUCUAAAUUCUCAAAGGACGAAAAAGACGACGAUGAUAAAAACGGUGGUGACUCUGCUAUAUCGACCCCACCACCAAGUGCUUACAGCUCCGAUGGAGUCUAGUCUCAAUUUUCGGUUAAACUCUCAAAUUAAUCAUUGAAAUUGGACGAGUAAGAUAUUUUUUUACCCUAAAACUUUAAAGUUCUUCUGUUAGUUUCAAUUUUACUUAAAACAUCCAUUUUAUUUUCUUAAUUUUUUUUUUGUCAUUUUAAAAAAUUAGAAUGGAUGGUUUUGGGAAAGUCAAACCUAACAGAAGAACUUUAAAAUUUUGGAGACUAAAAUAUCCAUCUCGAUCAUGCACGGUUAAUUUGAAGGUUUAUUGAUGGGAUAUGAGACUUGUUUCUACCACGUUGUCGUCGUUCCCUUCUCAUCUCGUGCUCUCUAUCGUGGUUCUCUUACAAUGUUUUCGGUAAGAGGAAUCAUCAUCAACUUAAAAAAGCAUUUGCAUUGUGUCUGUUCCUUUUUUAUUGCAGACAGAAGCUGCUAUUACUGCCUCUGAUUAAGCAACGUUGUCUACGUCUUCUCUCGUACAAAUAGAAGAUGCAAUGUGAUUUGAAUUUUAGUGUGCAUAAUAAAAUCCUGGAAAACCAGUCGUUUUUUAUGGUUGAUCAGGAUUGUAAUUCACAGGGUGGUUGUUGUUGUUGUUAUGUUGGGUUUGCUAUGUCCUUACUAUUUAGUUGAGCUCGUUUGGAAUGUCCUUAAUCUCUGACCAGUGUUUUUAGAGUCAUGGCUGGAGGUAGGGACUUUGUAAUCUUUGUACUUUUACUUUCAGUUUGGAUUGUAAUUUUCUUUCAAGUACUACAUAUAUGAGAACUCAGUAUUGCUUGUCUGUCAUUUUUUAUCUAUAAAUUGGUUGUUAACAUGAUAAGAUAUGUUUCACAUCGAGAUUUUGAAAGAAAGGCAAAAGAAGAGAAAAAAAGAAAAUAAAUCUUUUCUUGGUUAAAAACUUUUUAUUUAAAGUAUUUAAUGUGUGUGACAUGUUAUUUGUU